GUGGGGAAUCUUGCACAAUGGGGGCAACCCUGAUGCAGCGACGCCGCGUGAGCGAUGAAGCCCUUCGGGGUGUAAAGCUCUUUCGGCAGGAACGAUAAUGACGGUACCUGCAGAAGAAGCUGCGGCUAACUACGUGCCAGCAGCCGCGGUAAUACGUAGGCAGCAAGCGUUGUUCGGAGUUACUGGGCGUAAAGAGUGUGUAGGCGGUUCUCUAAGUUCCGUGUGAAAUCUCCCGGCUCAACUGGGAGGGUGCGCGGAAAACUGGAGGGCUUGAGUAUGGGAGAGGAAAGCGGAAUUCCUGGUGUAGCGGUGAAAUGCGUAGAUAUCAGGAGGAACACCUGCGGUGUAGACAGCUUUCUGGACCAUCACUGACGCUGAGACACGAAAGCGUGGGUAGCAAACAGGAUUAGAAACCCUUGUAGUCC
rnacentral:rRNA from 1 species